rnacentral:rRNA from 1 species
UGAGGAAUAUUGGACAAUGGGCGCAAGCCUGAUCCAGCCAUGCCGCGUGCAGGAAGAAGCAUCUAUGGUGUGUAAACUGCUUUUGUACAGGAAGAAACAUCCCGACGUGUCGGGACUUGACGGUACUGUAAGAAUAAGGAUCGGCUAACUCCGUGCCAGCAGCCGCGGUAAUACGGAGGAUCCAAGCGUUAUCCGGAAUCAUUGGGUUUAAAGGGUCCGUAGGCGGUUUGAUAAGUCAGUGGUGAAAGCCCAUCGCUCAACGAUGGAACGGCCAUUGAUACUGUCAGACUUGAAUUACUGGGAAGUAACUAGAAUAUGUAGUGUAGCGGUGAAAUGCUUAGAUAUUACAUGGAAUACCAAUUGCGAAGGCAGGUUACUACCAGUGGAUUGACGCUGAUGGACGAAAGCGUGGGGAGCGAACAGG